rnacentral:misc_RNA from 1 species
UUACCCAUUCUUCAUAUCAUAAACAACUAUAUAAUUGAUGUGCGUUUGUAGUUGAAUUUAUUAAUUUUUCCAACACCAUUUAUAAAAUAAAUAAAUAAAAGGUCAAAAUCUUACAACUUCACUCUGUUUGGUUACUGAGAAAAUAAGGAAAUCUAAAAAUUUAGUAUUGUAUUCCUAACAUUCUUUCUGAAAUAACAAAAACAGGAAUCCCAAAAUUCAGAACAAAAAAAAGGGGAAGAAAAGCUCUUAACUGUUAAAAUCGAAAUCCAAAAUUCUGAAGAAAACCUGUACAACUAGGCUCGGCAGGGUAAAGCGACUUCGAAACAAAUGACAUCUGAGAAACGUUUAUAAUUAACCUACAACGUUCUAUUUUUGCUUAAUACUAAUAAUUUCAGAACUUGAUUUCACAUCAACCAUACAGAAACCACUAGUCUAAGGCAAAUCCAUUCAAAUGUAACAAGUCAAUUUCCUCAAAACACGAAUAUAUGAACG